UGGCUCACCUAGGCUACGAUCCCUACCUGGUCUGAGAGGAUGACCAGCCACACUGGAACUGAGACACGAGCUCCAUACUCCUACGGGAGGCAGCAGUGGGGAAUAUUGCACAAUGGGCGCAAGCCUGAUGCAGCCAUGCCGCGUGUAUGAACAAGGCCUUCGGGUUGUAAAGUACUUUCAACGAGGAGGAAGGCGUUAAGAGUUAAUAACCUUGGMGAUUGACGUUACUCUCAGAAGAAGCACCGGCUAACUCCGUGCCAGCAGCCGCGGUAAUACGGAGGGUGCAAGCGUUAAUCRCGAAUUACUGGGCGUAAAGCGCACGCAGGCGGUUUGUUAAGUCGGAUGUGAAAUCCCCGGGCUCAACCUGGGAACUGCAUUCGAAACUGGCAAGCUUGAGUCUUGUAGAGGGGGGUAGAAUUCCAGGUGUA
rnacentral:rRNA from 1 species